GUGUCAGCAGCCGCGGUAAUACGUAGGGGGCAAGCGUUGUCCGGAAUUACUGGGCGUAAAGAGCGUGUAGGCGGGAAUUUAAGUCAGAUGUGAAACCUCUGGGCUCAACCUAGAGCAUGCAUCUGAUACUGGAUUUCUUGAGGGUAUGAGAGGAAAACGGUAUUCCUAGUGUAGCGGUGAAAUGCGUAGAUAUUAGGAGGAACACCAGUGGCGAAGGCGGUUUUCUGGCAUACAACUGACGCUGAGACGCGAAAGCGUGGGGAGCAAACAGGAUUAGAUACCCUGGUAGUCCACGCCGUAAACGAUGGGUACUAGGUGUAGGAGGUAUCGACCCCUUCUGUGCCGCAGUUAACACAUUAAGUACCCCGCCUGGGGAGUACGGCCGCAAGGUUGAA
rnacentral:rRNA from 1 species